AUUGAACGCUGGCGGCAUGCUUUACACAUGCCAGUCGAACGGCAGCGCGGGCUUCGGCCUGGCGGCGAGUGGCGAACGGGUGAGUAAUGCAUCGGAACGUGCCCAGUAGUGGGGGAUAGCCCGGCGAAAGCCGGAUUAAUACCGCAUACGACCUGAGGGUGAAAGCGGGGGACCGAAAGGCCUCGCGCUAUUGGAGCGGCCGAUGUCGGAUUAGCUAGUUGGUGGGGUAAAGGCUUACCAAGGCGACGAUCCGUAGCUGGUCUGAGAGGACGACCAGCCACACUGGGACUGAGACACGGCCCAGACUCCUACGGGAGGCAGCAGUGGGGAAUUUUGGACAAUGGGGGCAAGCCUGAUCCAGCCAUGCCGCGUGCGGGAAGAAGGCCUUCGGGUUGUAAACCGCUUUUGUUCGGGAAGAAAUCCUCUGGGCUAAUACCCCGGGGGGAUGACGGUACCGGAAGAAUAAGCACCGGCUAACUACGUG
rnacentral:rRNA from 1 species